AACGAACGCUGGCGGCAGGCCUAACACAUGCAAGUCGAGCGCCCCGCCAGGGGAGCGGCGGACGGGUGAGUAACGCGUGGGAAUAUGCCCUUUGCUACGGAAUAGUCUCGGGAAACUGGGGGUAAUACCGUAUACGCCCUUUGGGUGAAAGAUUUAUCGGCGAAGGAUUAGCCCGCGUUGGAUUAGGUGGUUGGUGGGGUAAUGGCCUACCAAGCCGACGAUCCAUAGCUGGUUUGAGAGGAUGAUCAGCCACACUGGGACUGAGACACGGCCCAGACUCCUACGGGAGGAAGCAGUGGGGAAUCUUAGACAAUGGGGGCAACCCUGAUCUAGCCAUGCCGCGUGAGUGAUGAAGGCCUUAGGGUUGUAAAGCUCUUUCAGCUGGGAAGAUAAUGACGGUACCAGCAGAAGAAGCCCCGGCUAACUCCGUG
rnacentral:rRNA from 1 species